AUCACUUGAGCCCGGGUGGCUGAGGCUGCAGUAAGCCCUGACCUCCCCACUGAACUCCAGCCUGAAUAACACAACACUCAAGCAAUACUUGGCCGAUGAGACACGUCCACCCACACCUUUAAGCUGUGCCUCCCCGUGCAGGGCCUAGAAGGUCUAACCCUUGGAUCAGUCCCAGGGUUCUGCCAAAAACAUCUGUUAGGGCCAAGAGCCCCCAGGGAGCAGAAUCAGAAUGUGAACUGCAUUUGGAUGAAGAAGGAGUUGGAGAACGCAGCAUAAGAGAAUCUGGAGUGCAGUGGAACCUGCUCAGGAAUUUGGCUUCACGUCCAAGAUGGACUCUUGCCCUAUCACCCAGGCUGGAGUGCAGUGGUGUAAUGUCGGCUCACCGCAACCUCCACCUCCUGGGUCCAGGGGAUUCUCCUGCCUCAGCCUCCCGAGUAGCUGGGAUUACAGUGGUUUUCAGAGUGUCUCCCUGGGCCAGCAACAUCAGCAUCAGAUCCCACCCCAGACCGGCUGCAUCAGAAACUCCAGGCACAGGGCCCAACGACCUGCGUUUGAACAAGCCCUCCAGGUGAUCCUGACGCAUGCUCAGGUCUGAGAACCACUGGGCUACCUCCUGUUUCUCCAGACUCCAGCAAGUCUAGGUGACCGUUAAGGGUAAGGUUAGCUCUUGUUGUGGCCUUUGACACCUGAGUGCAACUCAUCAGGUCUAUUAUAAAGGAAUUCUGAGUGUGAUUAAUAAUCAAGUGGGUAAAGCUUUUUUGGCCUCUGCUGCUGCUUUCCAUUCCACUACCUGGCAUCCUGUUCUGGAACAGCUGAUAAAAGUAAUCAUUGCCAUAUGGACAUUAUCACCACACCCUUCAGAACGAGCUCAGUACCCUCAUCCAUUGGCUUCUCACCUCAAGUGGGGCCUGAGGCUCUCUAUAAAAAUCACCUGAGACCGUCAGUAUCUCAGCCUCAAGGAAUUUUUCCAGGUUUUGUCACUGAACUGCCUGCCUAACUCCCUCCUGGCCUUCUCCCUGAGGUGUCUUAACACAGCCCACAGCCCACAGCCCAGCCCUGGCCCCUUAGGGAAUGUCCUCCCCAACCCAUAUGUCCUGAAGGUGAAAGCAGAUCACCUUACUGAUGGAAUCUCCAACUCUGGUCAUGAUGUUGUCUGUUUCUUUCUUUAAUUCUGCCAAGUUUUGUUUCUUGUUUUUGAAGCACUGUUAAUAGUUGCAUACAUGGUUAUGACUGUUUUCCCUUCCUGAUGAAUUGACCCUUUCACCAUAAUAAA